rnacentral:lncRNA from 1 species
AGAUUCUUCCCAGUUCUUUAUUGCAUUUACCUUGAAUAAAAUAGUACCAAGGUUUAAUUAAAGCAUUAUUAUUAUUUUUUUGCCUUCUUACUUUGAUAGUUUUCAAAAUCUUUGGGUGUAUAAAAAUGCCUUGAUCCUGUGUUUUCCUCUAGUUUAGUGGGAAAUUCUAUAGCUUCUACAAUUAUUAAAAAUUCAGUAGGGGCUUCAAGAGUAUAUCAGAUGUUCUUAUACAUAAAACAUUUUAUAGUACAAAAUUGAGCAUGUUGAUCAAGCUAUUCAUGAGGGUCAUGUUUUGCUUCUUCCUCAGGCUAGUUUAGCAGUCCAGAUGAGAAAAGAUUGUGACUGGGACCAAGUGGUGGUACUGAGGGUAGGAUAUGAUGACUAAUUAGAUAAAGAGGAGGAAGGGAAGGGGAGAAUCCAGGUUUCUGGGCUUAAACAAAUUGGUAAAUGGUAACAUUCAGUAAUCCAGGUACUGGGGCAAAAGGAUCAAUGAUAGGGGAGAUCAUGUAACAAGUAGGUUGUAGAUUAUAAAGGAUUUUGAAGGCCACAUUAAGGAGUAUAGACUUCAUCCUAAGAGUAAUAGGGACCCUUUGAAGAGUUUUAAGUGAGGGAGUGAUACUGGAUUUGCAUUUUAUUUUAUUUUUUUAUUACUG